GGGCCCGUGGUUCAGCCUGGUUAGGACGCCGCCCUCACACGGCGGAAAUCCCCGGUUCAAAUCCGGGCGGGCCCA
rnacentral:tRNA from 1 species